UUCAAGAAUUUCAAGAAAGAAUAGGGAAAAGAAACCCUAACAGAGGCCAAUAAUUGGACAAUUGUUAAUGGAACAAAUUUAAAAGUAAUUAGAGCAAAAGAUUGUGAACAUAGAGUCAGAAGGAGAAGAAUAUACGAGAGAGAAAUUAAGUAAGAACAGAAGCAGAAGGAGAAGAAAGAAUUUCAAGAUGAAUUUCAAGAAUAGGGUUUUGCCAAGAAAAAGAAACAGAAGGAAAAGAAAGGAAGGAAAUUCCUGGGAAAAGAAGGAAAGGAAGUUUAGUGAAGGAAGAAAGAAGGAAUAGAUGAAAAAGUGAAAGAAAUCUCAUGAAAGAAGAAAAGGAAUAGGGGAAAGAAGAAAGAAAAGCAGAGAAAAACCUAGAAUUUUGGAAUGUUGGAAGACUCCCAUGAAUCUGCUCAGGAUUGCGACUCCAGCAGAAAAGAUUGGAAGCAAACCAAGCUCAGAUCAGCGCUAUGAUACCACUUUGUUACAUGUCAGUCUGCACACUUACUGAAGCAGAGAAAUAGGGAGAGAAAGAAAUAGAAAUAGAUUGGGUGAGAAGAGAAAUAG
rnacentral:misc_RNA from 1 species